rnacentral:rRNA from 1 species
UACGUAGGGUGCGAGCGUUGUCCGGAAUUAUUGGGCGUAAAGGGCUCGUAGGCGGUUUGUCGCGUCGGGAGUGAAAACACACAGCUUAACUGUGUGCUUGCUUCCGAUACGGGCAGACUAGAGGUAUGCAGGGGAGAACGGAAUUCCUGGUGUAGCGGUGAAAUGCGCAGAUAUCAGGAGGAACACCGGUGGCGAAGGCGGUCUCUGGGCAUUACCUGACGCUGAGGAGCGAAAGUGUGGGGAGCGAACAGG